AUUGAACGCUGGCGGCAUGCUUUACACGUGCAAGUCGAACGGCAGCGCGGGCUUCGGCCUGGCGGCGAGUGGCGAACGGGUGAGUAAUACAUCGGAACGUGCCCAGUCGCGGGGGAUAGCCCGGCGAAAGGCGGAUUAAUACCGCAUACGACCCGAGGGUGAAAGCGGGGGAGCUUGGGAUCUCGGGCUAUGGGAGCGGCCGAUGGCUGAUUAGCUAGGUGGUGGGGUAAAGGCCUACCAACGGGACGAUGUGGAGCUGGUGUGAGAGGAGGACGAGCCACACUGGGACUGAGACACGGCCCAGACUCCUACGGGAGGCAGCAGUGGGGAAUUUUGGACAAUGGGCGGAAGCCUGAUCCAGCAGUGCCGGGUGUGUGAUGAAGGCCUUCGGGUUGUAAAGCACUUUUGGCGGGAACGAAAAGGACUGUGCCAAUACCACGGUUCGAUGACGGUACCCGCAGAAUAAGCACCGGCUAACUACGUG
rnacentral:rRNA from 1 species